GGACUACCAGGGUUUCUAAUCCUGUUUGCUCCCCACGCUUUCGUGCCUCAGCGUCAGUUACAGUCUAGGCAGCUGCCUUCGCAAUCGGGGUUCUGGAUACUAUCUAUGCAUUUCACCACUACAGUAUCCAUUCCGCCACCCUCGUCUGUACUCAAGCUCUCCAGUUUCCAGGGCAGUUCCGUUGUUGAGCAACGGGCUUUCACCCCAGACUUAAAAAGCCGCCUACGCACCCUUUAAACCCAAUAAAUCCGGACAACGCUUGCACCCUCCGUAUUACCGCGGCUGCUGGCACG
rnacentral:misc_RNA from 1 species